AUGUUAGAGGAUCACAAAAAGUCGUUGUACCCAGGAUGCGAUAAUAGUCUGAAAAAGCUGAGCUGCACACUGGAUUUGCUAAAAUGGAAGGCACAGGAAGGUGUAGCUGACUCAUCAUUUGAAAAUUUGCUGAAAAUGUUGAAGAAUAUGUUUCCGAAGAAUAACGAGUUGCCCGCCAGUACGUACGAAGCAAAGAAGGUUGUCUGCCCUCUAGGUUUAGAGGUUCUGAAGAUACAUGCAUGCAUUAACGACUGCAUCCUCUACCGCGGUGAAUACGAGAAUUUGAAUGAAUGCCCUGUAUGCACUGCAUUGCGUUAUAAGAUCAGAGGCGAUGACCCUGGUGACGAUGUUGAGGGCGAGAAACCCAGGAAGAGGGUUCCCUCCAAGGUGAUGUGGUAUGCUCCUAUAAUACCACGGUUGAAACGUCUGUUCAGGAACAAAAAGCAUGCCAAGUCGUUGCGAUGGCACAAAGAGGACCGUAAGUCCGAGGGGGAGUUGAGACACACCGCUGAUGGAACGCAAUGGAGAAAGAACGACAGAGUGUUCAAAGAUUUUGCAGCUGACGCAAGGAACAUAAGAUUUGGUCUAAGUACUGAUGGCAUGAAUCCUUUUGGCGAGCAGAGCUCCAGCCAUAGCACCUGGCCCGUGACUCUAUGCAUCUACAACCUUCCUCCUUGGUUGUGCAUGAAGCGGAAGUUCAUUAUGAUGCCAGUGCUCAUCCAAGGUCCAAAGCAACCCGGGAACGACAUCGAUGUGUACCUAAGGCCAUUAGUUGAUGAACUUUUACAGUUGUGGGGCAGACCUGGUGUACGUGUCUGGGAUGAGCACAAAGAAGAGGAAUUUGACCUACGAGCGUUGCUUUUUGUAACCAUCAACGAUUGGCCUGCUCUCAGCAACCUUUCGGGACAGACAAAUAAGGGAUACAAUGCAUGCACGCACUGCUUACAUGAGACU
rnacentral:rRNA from 1 species